AUAAAAAAUAAAAUAAAAAACAAACUACAGUGAGACAGGAGUUCCCUGGCAGUUCAGCAGGUUAAGGAACUGGUGUUGUCACUGGUGUGGCUCUGGUUACUGCUGUGGCAUGGGUUCAGUCCCUGGCCCAGGAACUUUUGCAUGCUAUAGAUCCGGUGUUGCUGUGCACUGUGGCGUAGGUCGAAGACACAGAUGGGAUACUGUGUUGCUGUGGCAGUGGUGCAGGCCAGUGGCUACAGCUCCAAUUUGACCCGGAGCCUUGGAUUCUCCAUAUGCCACAUGUGUGGCCCUAAAAAAAAACUCCAGUCAGGCUGGUAGUUAAGUUAAUAUGGUACCAAUGUUAAUUUCUUGGCUUUGAUUAUUGUACUAUAGAAUUAAUAUCAGGGGAGCAGGGUAAGAGACACACAGGAAUUCUCUAUACUAUCUGCAAAAUUUCUCCCUAAGUCUAUACCUAGCAUUGCAGCUUCCAGCUCACUCUCUCCAGGCCCACUUGCUCUGAGGAGAAGCCAGACGCUUGUCAUGGGGACACUAUGGAGGGGGCCACAUGGUGAGAAACUGAGCCCUCUUGCCCACAGCCAGCAUGGUCUUCCAGAUGAAUGAAUGAGCCACCUUGGAAGAAGAUCCCCCGGUCCCAGCCAAGCCUUCGGAUGCAUGAGGCCCCGUCAGUGAGGAUGAGCCAAGGCUUGGAGCCAAAACCAUCCAGAUGAGCCACCCUCCAAUACCUGACUCACAGAAAGCCGCGUGUUAUCCCUUAGAGCAGCUUUUUUUAGAGAAAAUAUUGCUGUUUCGAACAGUGGCCACCAGAUGGCGCCUGGAUUCCAAGGUUGGAAACAAAACGGCUGCCACUAUUACAGAAGAGGUCAAGGCCUCAGUUUAUUUAUAAAGCCUAAUAAAAAUGUCACCGGGAGUUUUUUCCCUACAGCUAGACAAUUUGAUUAUAAGGUUCAUUUGGAAGUGCCAUAGGCAAAUAUGUAAGGGGAAAGCUGAAAAAGAAGGGAGAAGAGGAGAAGGAAAAAAAUAAGGGAAUAGCUCUACCAGAUAUUAAUAACAAUUUUUUAAAAAUGUGUUGGAGCUUCCAUUGUGGCGCAGAGGAUUAAGGAUCUGGCUUUGAAGCAGCUGUGGCGUAGGUCCCAGCCACGGCUCCACUUUCAACCCCUGGCCUGGAAACUUCUACAUGUAGUGGGUGUGGCCAAAAAAGAAUGAAUGAAUGAAUGCAUACAUACAUACAUACACAAGUAAAUAAAUAAAUGUGCAUCAGUAAAUAUACAGAUCAAGAGAAGGAUUAGAAAAUCUGAAACAGAAACAAUUGCCUAUGGAAAUUUAUUUCAUCAUCAUAUAAUAGUUUUUAAUUUAGGAAGGGACUUUGGGGAAGUUUUUAAUCUAGUAGUGUUGGAGCAACUAGAUAAACAAAAAGAAAAGCUUGAGUCCAUUCCUCACCCUGGAUACCAGAUUAAAUUCAAAAUGUAUCAAAGACUUAAGUGGAAAAAUGUAAUCUCAUAAACACUGGUGAGUCUCCUAAUGACUGAGGAGGGGAGUAAAUUUGCCAAACUGUUAAUCAAAAUUCAGAAGCAAUAAAAGGGGCGCUUGUGUCUCAGCAGUAAUAAACCCAACUAGUAUCCAUGACAUCUCGGAUUCAGUUCCUGGCCUUGCCCAGUUGGUUAAGGAUCUGGUGUUGCCAUGAGCUGUUCUGUAGAUCACAGAUGCGGCUUGGAUUGGGGAUUGCUGUGGCUGUGGCAUAGGCUGGCAGCCGGAGCUCCAAUUCGACCCCUAACCCGGGAACUUCCAUGUGUUCAGUCAUUAAAAAAAAAAAAAGAAAGAAAAGCAGCAAUAAAAGGGAACUGUGUUAAAGGACCAAGCAAAAACGAAGACCUUUUGCAGGUUCAAAACAUAAAGCCAGCAUGCGCAAACUGAAAACUACAGAUGACAAAGCGAAAAUUACAACUUAUAUCACAAAGGGUUAAUAUACCUGAACUAUAGGGAGCAUUUUAAAAAUCGAGGCCAAAAAGACCAAGAAACCUAUUGAAAGUAGGCAAAGAGGAAGUUCACAUCAAAAGAAGUGCAAAUGUCCCCUCCAUACACGAAAAUAUGCUCGACGCCGCUUACAAUUUUUAAAAACCACAAACUCAAACCACCCUGAGAUCCUUUUUCUCACCUAACAGACUAGCAAAACUCCAAGUGUUUGACACACCCUGUUGGCAGUGCUGGGAGGAAGCAGGGGUUCUCACGCCUUGCUGGUGGG
rnacentral:lncRNA from 1 species